UACGUAGGGUGCAAGCGUUGUCCGGAAUUAUUGGGCGUAAAGAGCUCGUAGGCGGUUUGUCGCGUCUGCUGUGAAAACCCGAGGCUCAACCUCGGGCCUGCAGUGGGUACGGGCAGGCUUGAGUUCGGUAGGGGAGACUGGAAUUCCUGGUGUAGCGGUGAAAUGCGCAGAUAUCAGGAGGAACACCGGUGGCGAAGGCGGGUCUCUGGGCCGAUACUGACGCUGAGGAGCGAAAGCGUGGGGAGCGAACAGG
rnacentral:rRNA from 1 species